AUUGAACGCUGGCGGCAGGCCUAACACAUGCAAGUCGAGCGAGCGGCGGACGGGUGUGUAAUGUAUGGGGACUGCCCGAUAGAGGGGGAUAACUACUGGAAACGGUGGCUAAUACUGCAUACUAUCGGAUAACCCAUAUGGGAUUAGCUAGUAGGUGGGGUAAAGGCUCACCUAGGCGACGAUCUCUAGCUGGUCUGCGAGGAUGAUCAGCCACACUGGGACUGGGAAACGGCCCAGACUCCUACGGAGGCAGCAGUGGGGAAUAUUGCACAAGGGACGCAAGCCUGAUGCAGCCAUGCCGCGUGUAUGAAGAAGGCCUUAGGGUUGUAAAGUACUGUCAGCGGAGAGGCGUUACCCACAGAGAAAGCACCGGCUAACUCCGUGCCAGCAGCCGCGGUAAUAC
rnacentral:rRNA from 1 species